CUGAUCGGGCGGAGCUUACGUUUUAAUUUGCAUGAGGACAGUCGAUUUGAAAAUAUGUGUGAUUACGAUGAUUGCCGUUAUAGUUAUUACUGAUUUCUAAUCACCUAUCAGUGACCUCGAAGGAAUUUACAAAAGAAUUGGACAAUGCAUUGAUGAGUGUAUCCUAAAACACCUAUCUAUAGAUGGACUGGUUUAUUAUGAGCGAACUGGAUAAACUCCGCCCAGUCAAG
rnacentral:lncRNA from 1 species